GUCUGGAAAGGCGCGCGAUACAGGGUGACAGCCCCGUACACAAAAAUGCACAUACUGUGAGCUCGAUGAGUAGGGCGGGACACGUGGUAUCCUGUCUGAAUAUGGGGGGACCAUCCUCCAAGGCUAAAUACUCCUGACUGACCGAUAGUGAACCAGUACCGUGAGGGAAAGGCGAAAAGAACCCCGGCGAGGGGAGUGAAAAAGAACCUGAAACCGUGUACGUACAAGCAGUGGGAGCCUCUUAAUGGGGUGACUGCGUACCUUUUGUAUAAUGGGUCAGCGACUUAUAUUCUGUAGCAAGGUUAACCGAAUAGGGGAGCCGAAGGGAAACCGAGUCUUAACUGGGCGUUAAGUUGCAGGGUAUAGA
rnacentral:rRNA from 1 species